CCGGCGGCGGCCCCGGCAACGCCACUACGUUCCUGUCGCAGUACCUGACGCAGAAGGCGGUGGGCCAGUUCGACCUGGGCCCGGCGGC
rnacentral:tRNA from 1 species